UUGAUGAUAAUUAGUUGUGGAUGGUCGCUUUUACGAGUGAUUUACUCAUUUGAUCGCC
rnacentral:precursor_RNA from 1 species